rfam:Pteropus alecto contig19674, whole genome shotgun sequence.
ACUUCCAUAGUGUAGCGGUUAGCAUGUCUGCUUUUCACACAGAAGGUCCUGGUUUCACGCCCCAGUGGAGCCA